rnacentral:rRNA from 1 species
CAGCAGCCGCGGUAAUACGGAGGGUGCAAGCGUUAAUCGGAAUUACUGGGCGUAAAGCGUGCGUAGGUGGUGGUUUAAGUCCGUUGUGAAAGCCCUGGGCUCAACCUGGGAAUGGCAGUGGAUACUGGCAAGCUAGAGUGUGUCAGAGGAUGGUGGAAUUCCCGGUGUAGCGGUGAAAUGCGUAGAGAUCGGGAGGAACAUCAGUGGCGAAGGCGGCCAUCUGGGACAACACUGACGCUGAGGCACGAAAGCGUGGGGAGCAAACAGGAUUAGAUACCCCCGUAGUCCCUGUCUCUUAUAC